rnacentral:rRNA from 1 species
UCGGGAAUAUUGCGCAAUGGAGGAAACUCUGACGCAGUGACGCCGCGUAUAGGAAGAAGGUUUUCGGAUUGUAAACUAUUGUCGUUAGGGAAGAAAAAGGACAGUACCUAAGGAGGAAGCUCCGGCAAACUACGUGCCAGCAGCCGCGGUAAUACGUAGGGAGCGAGCGUUAUCCGGAUUUAUUGGGUGUAAAGGGUGCGUAGACGGGCUAACAAGUUGGUUGUGAAAUCCCUCGGCUUAACUGAGGAACUGCAACCAAAACCGUAAGUCUUGAGUGCAGGAGAGGUAAGUGGAAUUCCUAGUGUAGCGGUGAAAUGCGUAGAUAUUAGGAGGAACACCAGUGGCGAAGGCGACUUACUGGACUGUAACUGACGUUGAGGCACGAAAGUGUGGGGAGCAAACAGG